rnacentral:rRNA from 1 species
AAUAUUGGACAAUGGGCGAAAGCCUGAUCCAGCCAUGCCGCGUGUGUGAAGAAGGUCUUCGGAUUGUAAAGCACGUUAAGUUGGGAGGAAGGGAAGGAAGUUAAUACUUUGAUGUUUUGACGUUACCGAUAGAAUAAACACCGGCACACUUCGUGCCGGCCGCCGCGGUAAUACGGAGGGUGCAAGCGUUAAUCGGAAUUACUGGGCGUAAAGCGCGCGUAGGUGGUUUGUUAAGUUGGAAGUGAAAGCCCCGGGCUCAACCUGGGAACUGCUUUCAAAACUGGCAAGCUAGAGUAUGGCAGAGGGUGGUGGAAUUUCCUGUGUAGCGGUGAAAUGCGUAGAUAUAGGAAGGAACACCAGUGGCGAAGGCGACCACCUGGGCUAAUACUGACACUGAGGUGCGAAAGCGUGGGGAGCAAACA